GAUGAAGAACGCAGCGAAAUGCGAUAAGUAAUGUGAAUUGCAGAAUCCAGUGAAUCAUCGAAUCUUUGAACGCACAUUGCGCCCGCCAGCAUUCUGGCGGGCAUGCCUGUUCGAGCGUCAUUUCAACCCUCGACCUCCCUUUGGGGAAGUCGGCGUUGGGGACCGGCAGCACACCGCCGGCCCUGAAAUGGAGUGGCGGCCCGUCCGCGGCGACCUCUGCGUAGUAAUCCAACUCGCACCGGAACCCCGACGCGGCCACGCCGUAAAACACCCAACUUCUGAACGUUGACCUCGAAUCAGGUAGGACUACCCGCUGAACUUAAGCAUAUCAAUAAGCGGAGA
rnacentral:misc_RNA from 1 species